rnacentral:tRNA from 1 species
GGAGGUGAGGCUGUGGCUUAGUGGUAGACUAUCUUCUUUGCAUGCAGAAGGUCCUAGGUUCAAUGUCCAGCAUCUCCC